UUCAAACACGGCAUGGGCUUUUUGUCAGUCUCAGCUGUACAGACUGUGAGCUAACACCUGUCCCAGUUAUGAUUUCGGGGUUGAGGCAAGAGUGAGGGCUGCAGAAACUCCACCCUUAGCUGUUGCUCCUACACCCAGUCUGAUCUUGAACAUUGAACAUCUGAUCUUGAAUUAUUUACCUUGGAAAAGUAAGUCUUCAUGGGGUUUCCAUCCUCGCUGCUGUUGAAGGCACAAGAGCAGAAUCAGUCAAGAUGUUGGCAACUGAAGUGUUCCACAAAGAUUCUAUAUCCCACCCCCAGGCAAAAACAUUUCCUACAAUGAUUCAGGAGGAUCCUCAUAUCCUUUUCUCAUUAGGUUGCUGGCAGGCGUUCAGGAGUGUAUCAUGCCUUUCCGGGUUUGACUAUGGCUCGUAUCCUGCAUAAAACGUGCAGCAGGGAACAAUCUAAUAAAAAAAUCCAUCCAGAUUUUUAUGUGUGCCUGUCAGCCUGUGUAGCUCUGCAGGGCCAGUGGAAUUCAGAGGCAAGAAAAAGGAGGAGUCCUUGCCCCCAAAACAAAGAAUCCUGAAGAAGACAUUUUCAUCUGGGAAAGAAGCUUCCUUUGAGGAAGAAAACCUUAAGAUAUAACCAAAAGAAUUUGUUCUUAUUUUAUUAGAACUACUUUGUGUGUGUGUGUGUGUUGUGUGUGUAUGUGUGUGUAAUUUCAACCUACAGGUGAAACUCGGAAAAUUAGAAUAUCGUGCAAAAGUCCAUUAAUUUCAGUCCGAUAUUGUUCCAUUCUUCGAUCCUUGUCUUCUUGGUUCCAUGUAAUAUUCUAAUUUUCUGAGAUUGUGGAUUUGGGGUUUUCAUGAGCUGUACGCCAUGAUCAUCACAAUUAUAACAAAUUAAGGCUUGACUUAU